rnacentral:rRNA from 1 species
GACAGAGGUGCCGAGCGUUAGGCGGAAUCACUGGGCUUAAAGCGUGUGUAGGCGGACGUCUAAGGACCUUGUGAAAUCCCACGGCUCAACCGUGGAACGGCUUGGUAUACUGGGCGUCUUGAGCCACUUAGGGGUCGUCGGAACAAGCGGUGGAGCGGUGAAAUGCGUAGAUAUCGCUUGGAACGCCAACGGUGAAAACAGACGACUGGGAGUGUGCUGACGCUGAGACACGAAAGCCAGGGGAGCGAACGGG